GGUAGCUCAAUGGAUAGAGCGUCUGACUACGGAUCAGAAGGUUGGGGGUUCGAGUCCUCCC
rnacentral:tRNA from 1 species